UUUUUUUUUUUUUCUUUUUGAAGGCAGAGUUUUGCUCUUGUUGCCCAGGCUGUAGUGCAAUGGGUAGAUCUCAGCUCACCACAACCUCUGCCUCCCGGGAUCAAGCAAUUCUCCUGCCUCAGCCUCCUGAGUAGCUAGGAUUACAGGCAUGCACCACCACGCCUACCUAAUUUUUAUUUUUAGUAGAGACAGGGUUUCUCCAUGUUGGUCAGGCUGGUCUUGAACUCCUGACCUCAGGUGAUCCGCUGGCCUUGGCUUCCCAAAGUUCUGGGAUUACAGGCCUGAGCUACCACACCCAGCCUGUUCAAUGCUUUUUAGUACAUGUUAAAUGUAAACUAUUUAGAGGCCUGGUAUAUCUUCAUCAUCAGAAACACACCCUACAUUGGCCAUAUACCAGGCACUCUUCUAGUAUGUAUGUUUCUGAUCACAGUGCAUGUAUAGUUUUUUCCAAUAUAUCAACUGUAUUUUUAAAAUUAUCUGAAUUUCACAUCAAUAAGCAAUAAAAAUAGGAAAAUAAACAUAUUCCUCCAAUGCCUUUCAUUUUAUUUCAAAUUGAUAUACCAGGGCUUGACGUUCAGUAAAAAAUUCUAAACAUUUAAAAACAAGAUUAAACGUUUAUGUUUUUAUUUUCUAUCCUUGCAAGUCUUCAGGGAAAACACAAGUAACACAUGGACCUGGUGUUUCUUAAUAAUACUUGAGUCCUUUUCACAAAAUAUAAUUCACAAAAUAUCACAAAAAAAUGAUAUUUUUAUUAUACUUUUAUAUUUUAAGAUUGAAAUUCAUGUACAUGUAUAUAUUGUUAGUCAAUAAAAUGAGUAUAUAGAGAGAUAAUUAAACAUAAGUAUAUUGGUGGUAACUUAUAUAGAGGUACUAUUUUUGUAUUUUUCUAAAUAAUUGUGUACAAUUAAGAUAGUAAUUUUGUCAUUAGUGUAAUGAAGUGAUUUUUUUAUAGAACUCAAGAGAAAAAACAAUACAUAUUAUCUAUAGUGCUGAAAUAGAAUUAUGAGUUAAUUGUCUGUUUAAAACAGUGGGAUACUCUGGUGAAAGAAAUCACUUUCAUUCUGACAAUAUUCAAGGUAUUAGCUACCUGAAAUAGAUUAUUUCCGCUUUCCUUUGCUAAUAUUUUGUUUGAGGCUGUGACUGCAAACUUACUGUCCAUGUUCUGUUCCAGGUAAUCAACAUUCCAAGCCAUCUUUUUUCUCUCACAUCAUUAUAGAGAUGAGAUUUUUUCCCUGCAAAGUUUCAAAAUUGAGUUUCUACUUCCACAGAAAGAUAUUUUCAUGGCACAACCCAUUCGCUCUCACCAUCAACUGUGUUUGCACUGUCCCAAAUUCUGGAAAACAAGAAACAGUGGAACACAUUCAAAAGAUACUAGAAGACAGUAGACCAGAGGUUUUGUCCCGUGUUACUAAUUUUCUUUGUGACCUUAGAUAAGCCAGUUAAUCUGCUUGGAUCUCAG
rnacentral:lncRNA from 1 species